rnacentral:rRNA from 1 species
AGUGAACGCUGGCGGUAGGCCUAACACAUGCAAGUCGAACGGCAGCACAGUAAGAGCUUGCUCUUACGGGUGGCGAGUGGCGGACGGGUGAGGAAUACAUCGGAAUCUACUUUUUCGUGGGGGAUAACGUAGGGAAACUUACGCUAAUACCGCAUACGACCUACGGGUGAAAGCAGGGGAUCUUCGGACCUUGCGCGAUUGAAUGAGCCGAUGUCGGAUUAGCUAGUUGGCGGGGUAAAGGCCCACCAAGGCGAAGAUCCGUAGCAGGUCCGAGAGGAAGAUCAGCCACACGGGAAGUGGGGCACGGUGCAGACUCCUACGGGAGGCAGCAGUGGGGAAUAUUGGACACUGGGCGAAACCCUGAUCCAGCCAUAUCGCGUGGGGGAAGAAGGGCUUUGGGUUGUAAAACCAUUUUGUUGGGAAAGAAAAGCAGCAGGUUAAUACCCCGCUGUUCAGACGGUACCCAAAGAAUAAGCACCGGCUAACUUCGU